rnacentral:rRNA from 1 species
ACAAGGUGCUGCAUGGCUGUCGUCAGCUCGUGCCGUGAGGUGUUGGGUUAAGUCCUAUAACGAGCGCAACCCUCUUACCUAAUUGCCAGCACGUAACGGUGGGAACUUUAGGUAGACUGCCCGCGCAAGCGGGAGGAAGGAGAGGAUGAGGUCAAGUCAUCAUGGCCUUUAUGCCCAGGGCUACAAACGUACUACAAUGGCGUGUACAGAGGGACGCUACUUGGCAACAAGAUGCAAAUCUCAAAAGCACGUCUCAGUUCGGAUUGGGGUCUGCAAUUCGACCCCAUGAAGUUGGAAUCGCUAGUAAUCGCGUAUCAGCAAUGACGCGGUGAAUACGUUCUCGGACCUUGUACACACCGCCCAUCAAGCCAUGGGAGUUGGUAGAGCUUGAAGACAGU